UCCUCCCUCUUUCUUCGUGCUUAACACAUGCAAGUCGAACGGAAAGGCCCUGCUUUUGUGGGGUGCUCGAGUGGCGAACGGGUGAGUAACACGUGAGUAACCUGCCCUUGACUUUGGGAUAACUUCAGGAAACUGGGGCUAAUACCGGAUAGGAGCUCCUGCUGCAUGGUGGGGGUUGGAAAGUUUCGGCGGUUGGGGAUGGACUCGCGGCUUAUCAGCUUGUUGGUGGGGUAGUGGCUUACCAAGGCUUUGCAGGGUAGCCGGCCUGAGAGGGUGACCGGCCACAUUGGGACUGAGGUACGGCCCAGACUCCUACGGGAGGCAGCAGUGGGGAAUAUUGCACAAUGGGCGGAAGCCUGAUGCAGCAACGCCGCGUGCGGGAUGACGGCCUUCGGGUUGUAAACCGCUUUCGCCUGUGACGAAGCGUGAGUGACGGUAAUGGGUAAAGAAGCACCGGCUAACUACGUG
rnacentral:rRNA from 1 species